UACGGAGGGUGCAAGCGUUACUCGGAAUCACUGGGCGUAAAGCGCGCGCAGGCGGCUUGAUAAGUUGGAUGUGAAAGCCUACGGCUCAACCGUAGAACUGCAUCCAAAACUGUCAGGCUAGAGUGUGGGAGAGGAAGAUGGAAUUAGUUGUGUAGGGGUAAAAUCCGUAGAGAUAACUAGGAAUACCAAAAGCGAAGGCAAUCUUCUGGAACACUACUGACGCUGAGGCGCGAAGGCGUGGGGAGCAAACAGGAUUAGAAACCCCAGUAGUCC
rnacentral:rRNA from 1 species